UUAAAUAAUCUUGUUAAAUAAUACAUGAGAAAAAAAAGGGAAAGAAAAAUAAUUUAAAAAAAAUAUUAACUUAGUAAUGUGUAAUAAAAAGAAAAAAAGAAACUAUAGAGUAUAAGUACUGUAAAGGAAAGAGUGAGUUAUAAUAUUGAAAGUAAGAAUAAAGUUCUGUACCUUGUGUAUCAGGGAAAAUCAAUAUAAACUAGAUUUUAUAGAAAUCCCGAAAUAAAAAUAGCUAGUUUUAUAAAAAAGUCAUUGUAGAAACAAUAUUUAAAAUAUAAAAACUAAAGGUGAAAUACUAAAGGAGUUUUAUUAUAUCUGGUUUCCUAAAAAUUGAGUUCAAUUCAGCUUUUAUAGAAGAUGUUAUGUAAAAGGAAAUUGUAGGAGGGACAAGCUUCUUACAAAAAAUGAUAAAAAGUUAAAUUAUAAAGAAAUUAUAAAAUUAAGCUUAAAAAUAGCUAUAUUAGUAAAGUGUUUUAAUUAAAUAAAAAAAGAUAAUAUAUAAUUUAUAAAAACUUUAGGUAGUAUUAGGAGUUUCAUUAAACUAGAAACAAGGAAGGUAUGAUGGUUUUAUUAGUAGAAAUAUAAUAUUAAUUAGAUGUUUAGAUAAAAUUUAAAGUAGAGUUAUAAUGGAUUUAAGGUAUUAUAAAGGAACUCGGCAAAUAUUCUUCUUUGCCUGUUUAUCAAAAACAUGUCUGUUUGAGGGUAUAAACAGUCUAGUCUGCCCACUGAUAAAAUAAAUUUAAAGGGCCGCGGUAUCUUGACCGUGCAAAGGUAGCAUAAUCACUAGUUUUUUAAUUGGAAUCUCGUAUGAAUGGCUGGACAAAAGAAGGUCUGUCUCUAUAAUAAUUGUUGAAUUUAACUUUUAAGUGAAAAGGCUUAAAUAACUUAAAAAGACGAUAAGACCCUAUAAAGCUUGAUAUUAAUUAAGUAUUAUAUUAAAUUAUCAAAGUAAAUAAAAGUAUAUUACACAGUUUUUAUUUUAUUGGGGCGAUAGAAGUAAAAUUUUCAGUAACUGCUUAAAUUUUGUAACAAAGAUAAAUGAGUAAAGUUUAUAGAAGAUCCUAAAUAAAGAUUAAAAGGUUAAGUUACUUUAGGGAUAACAGCGUAAUUUUUUUUGAGAGUUCUUAUCGACAGAAAAGUUUGCGACCUCGAUGUUGAAUUAAAAUUUCUUUACAAUUGCAGCAGUUGUAAAAGAAGGUCUGUUCGACCUUUAAAUUUUUACGUGAUUUGAGUUCAGACCGGCGUGAGCCAGGUCGGUUUCUAUCUUUUAAGGUUUAAGCAAGUUAUUUUAGUACGAAAGGAUUAAGUAAUUUAAAUUAUUUAAAAGGUUGGUAAAA
rnacentral:rRNA from 1 species